UUUGAUGGCGACCGGCGCACGGGUGAGUAACACGUAUCCAGCCUGCCGAUGACUCGGGGAUAGCCUUUCGAAAGAAAGAUUAAUACCCGAUGGCAUAGUUCUUCCGCAUGGUGGAACUAUUAAAGAAUUUCGGUCAUCGAUGGGGAUGCGUUCCAUUAGGUUGUUGGCGGGGUAACGGCCCACCAAGCCUUCGAUGGAUAGGGGUUCUGAGAGGAAGGUCCCCCACAUUGGAACUGAGACACGGUCCAAACUCCUACGGGAGGCAGCAUG
rnacentral:rRNA from 1 species